rnacentral:rRNA from 1 species
AGCGAACGCUGGCGGUAGGCCUAACACAUGCAAGUCGAACGGCAGCACAGUAAGAGCUUGCUCUUACGGGUGGCGAGUGGCGGACGGGUGAGGAAUACAUCGGAAUCUACUUUUUCGGGGGGGAUAACGUAGGGAAACUUACGCUAAUACCGCAUACGACCUACGGGUGAAAGCAGUGGAUCGUCGGACCUUGCGCGAUUGAAUGCGCCGAUGUCGGAUUAGCUAGUUGGGGGGGUGAAGGCCCACCAAGGCGAGGGUCCGUAGCCGGUCUGAGUGGAGGAUCAGCGACACUGGAACUGGGACACGGUCCAGACUCCUACGGGAGGCAGCAGUGGGCAAUAUUGGACAAUGGGCGCAAGCAUGAUCCAGCCAUACCGCGUGGGUGAAGAAGGCCUUCGGGUUGUAAAGCCCUUUUGUUGGGAAAGAAAAGCAGCAGGUUAAUACCCCGCUGUUCUGACGGUACCCAAAGAAUAAGCACCGGCUAACUUCGUG